CCCCGGCACAGAGCUGCCUGUGCGCGCAGGAAGGGCCCCGCCGCCGGGACGGCCAGGCCAUAACCCUCGAUUUGCCCCUGCCUUAACCAAGGAGCUUGAGGAGCAGCAGAAGAGGCAGCGUGUGCCCUGUUUGCAGUGCUGAAAUAACACCGAGUCACUUCAGCGUAAACGGAUGAGUGCGGAUAGUGCCCCGCUACACGGUGGGGCUGUACCAAGAUCAGUGCUAGCAGGGCCACAGAAACCGGCACGCAGACAGCAUCAAGAGAUAAUGGGAUUUGUCACACCAACGCUAAACGGAGACUAAGCUUCAACCCUUCAUGUGAAACUGUUGAAAGAGGAAGCUGCAGUCAGUGCUUGACUGCACGAGACCACACCCCUCUCAGAGGGCAAAUGAUGUCUUACUUCAAAAACUUUAUGAAAUGCAAAGUCAGUUAAAUCCUUUCAAGUUUCUUCUUUGCAACGCAACAAUAAACCAGUGACUGACUUUUCUUAGAGCUGUUACUUGAAUAAUUGAGGAGAGGGAAAGCUAAGGUUCCUGCUAAGUUCUUUUUAUUCUUGCUCUGGAUGAUCUGAACAUCUUC